UACGAAGGGGGCUAGCGUUGUUCGGAAUUACUGGGCGUAAAGCGUGCGCAGGCGGCCAUCCAAGUCAGUGGUGAAAGCCCGGAGCUCAACUCCGGAAUUGCCAUUGAAACUGUUUGGCUCGAGUACGAGAGAGGUGAGUGGAAUUCCCAGUGUAGAGGUGUAAAUUCGUAGAUAUUGGGAAGAACACCGGUGGCGAAGGCGACCUUCUGGGCCGCAACUGACGCUGAGGCACGAAAGCCUGGGGAGCGAACGGG
rnacentral:rRNA from 1 species